GUACAAAGUAUGUGAGUAACACCUUCAAAACGGCUUCGUUGAGGGCUUUUAUGAGAACAGAUAAGUUAUGGCAAGUUCUCAGUAUUAAGUGUGUAACAUUAUUAUUUUACCCUAAUAGAAUUGAUUCACUAUGAGACUAUAAAGAGAAGAAAUGUCAGAUCCAAUGAGAGUCUACUGUCGUUUUUAAUCGAAACCACACGUGUUGCGUUUUCUCUGUUAUUGAAAGAUUUCAAUAGGUGAUGUGUCCAGUUUUGCGCGAUUGAGAUUCUCGUCGGUUUUUCGGCGGUUUUCGUUCUCCGGGAAUAUUAUCGUCGCACCACCAAAUCGAAGUCGUCGCUAGAAGCACAUGCGAAGUUGCAGCUGCGAAGUAAAUUUUAAUCUAUUUUUUCUGUUGCGCAUCAUUAAGCUAAUUAAUAGCAACAAUAUGCACUAAUCCAAAUUUAGUUGCGACAUUUCUAAAUAGCUUAAAAAUCAAUUUUCGCACGUUCGGUCACUUCGUAUUUCGACCAAAAGCAUAAUAGUUCGCGAAAAGAAAACUUCGUGUCGUGCGUGAUGGAGGAGGAAACGAGAAGUUUCCGCAUCAAACCGUUCGAUGGAGUCGGUUUCAAUAAUUAUUGGAGUUUCCGCAUGCGGGCUUACCUCCAGCAACUAGAAGUGCUGCAUUGCGUGGAGAGAAGCGCGGAAGAAGAAGAUUUUUGGAACACUCCCACAGCGGCGACGGCAGAGGUGAAAGCGGCGGAUGAGAUACGGAGAGCGGCGCGAGUGAGACAAGACAACAAAUGUCUGUGCUGAUACAGUCGGUUGCGGACAGUCACCUUGAGUACGUCAAGGUGUCGUCGAAACAGAUCUGGGACGAUCUGCACGAUAUCUUCCAGCGGAAAAGCAUAACAAACAGAUGCUGCUGAAGCGGCAGCUGCUCUCGAUGCGAUACAACGAAGGGGACAAGCUACAGUAUCAUUUCUUGCGAUUUGAUCAGCUGGUGCGAGAGAUAAAGGGAGCCGGAGCACGAAUGGAUGAAGAGGACGUAAUUUGCCAUCUGAUGUUAACGAUGCCGGAAUCGUUUGACGCCGUCACCACGGCGAUGGAGGCAAUUUCGGAAAGGUUGACGAUGGAUCUGGUGCACCGGAGGUAUCUCGAUGUUGAGGCCAAACGGACAGGACAGCGACUGGAAAGCGAUGAGUUAAGCUAACUGAUCAGCCAUCAAGAAAACAUUGUUACCCUAAAUAAGUCAUUAAGCACACUGCUCCGCAUAUCGCAAUGAAUUAACUACAUCGGCUGUUUUCCUACUCUCCGCAUCGACCAAUGUGGCGCUAGCUUCUAUGCGCGAAAAAUCGCUAAAAGUUAAUCGCAAAAAUAUUGUAUGGCGAAUACCAUCUAAAGGCAAAUUCUUCAAAGUGGAACACAUUAUUCAAAAAAAAUUUGGUAGUGGUUGUGCACAAUGGUGACUACUAUUAAGCCUACCAAAUAUUUUUUCGAGAAAAGCUUUGUAUUUCAAGUAAUUCAAGUUUAGAUGCAUUUCGCCAUACAAAAUUAAAUCGAUUUACUCCUGCUGAUCAACUGUGGCUGCGCGCAAAGCGGGUAGUCCAUUGGAAAACCCCUGAAUACGUUCUACACUCCACCCUUCAACCGAAGCAGCAGCUUGGCAUAGCAACGACCGAUCGCAGGAAAAGCAAUACAUGCUCAAAUAGCCGCGUCACAUCUCCGCACGACAGAGCGUCGACAGCGAAGCAGAAGGAAAAAUUGAAGUACAUAAGGAGAUCGUUGCGGUCAGUAAAUAACAUCCACGCUAUACUGCAGCCACACAUUGUCACCUCCGAGAGACGAUUUUCUUUACCCAACGUCUCCACUAGACAGAAAUGUCUUGCCAUUUUGCUGCCAGAAAGAGAAAACGUAACAGAAAUGAUCAACACCGCUGCUUUCCAUGCAAACAGCGAGAGAACAUUUCUGUCAUGACACAUCUGUCCAGCAAAAUGGCAAGACAUUUCUGUCUAGUGGAGACGUCGGGUUACCCUCGGUGCAGCGCGUCAUCACGCACACAAUCAGAGCUCGGCGGCAAGACGAUCGAACGAUCGCACUGCAUUCAGUGUCGUCUAGCCCACUUCGUCGUCCGCACGUAGCAGUUCGAAGCUGUCGCGGGGUUUAAUCGAACGAAACUUUGCCUGCAAUAAAUUUGCAAGAGUGCGCGGGUGCAAAAAGUAAAAUCAAAAUCCGAGUGCGGUGCGAGACUCACUUCUCUGCUGGAAGUGAGCAGCCAGCUUCCCAGAUCAAGGUAUGCGCAAUUUGACGGUGAAGUUGUAAUGAGUUAAUGGCCAUCUUGAUGACAGGUUAAUUCCCCGGACGACAAGACGCUAGUCGCAGCUAUUGUAAGCGUCACCAUUUUGAAAGCGCGAAAAUAGGAUCGACACGUGAGUUUCGACAAAUGUAAGUAAAAUGGAGAUCUUUAGUAGAAUGGAAGUUUAAACAGUUUUUCGUCUAGACGGACGACUAGUGGCCAGAUCGCGCUAAAUUUAUUCGCAAGCGAUACGUUUUACGGUCGCACGGAACACCAGUGCAAGUGCAUCGCAUUCCGGCAUCGCCAGCCAAGAAGCCAGUCGAGAAGAAGAAGACCACAAAUGCCUUCCAUUGGAAGUAUGUCGAUCUGCCGUUCCACGUGACACGCAGGGAGCUAAUAGCCUGGUGCCGUAGGGCUUUUGUUUCCUAUUUUUCAGUUUUGUCGUCCAGCACAACAAGCGUCGUCGGUCCGGAUAGGGCGAUCGAAUCCCAUCGCCACGCGUUCAGAAGAGAGGGCUGCUGGGCCGAAUGGGUCAACAACGUCGGUGCGUCACAUUGGUCGUUGGAAGCGCGGCCACAGUGUGGUUAGGCGAGGCAACAUCCUCGGUGGUAACCGAGAUACGACGUAAGAGCGUCGAUAAGAGCAGGUCAGUCAAGCCGGUGUGAGCAUCGACGAAGCCAGGAUGGUGAGUCAGCCGGACGUCAGCGGGGUAGCGAUGGAAGACAGGGCGCGCCCUGCAGUGCAGUGAGUAAAGCAAUGCAACCUUAGUUAUUAGGCUAUCAAGAGAGAUCGUAAGGGCAUUGAGGAUAGGAGGACCAGUCAGGAGUAGGAGAAUGAUGACCAGUUAAUAAAUUUGUUAACUAUGAUCAGUUUGUGUUGAGAUUUAUUUGUUGUGUGCGCAUUCCCUUAAGAGCUUUCCGGGACUCAACGAGGCUGUGUUAUUCCCUUCGAUAGUCAUUCACAACAGCGAAGCGGCGGAGGGUUCUGCUUUUGUCGAGAAAUCCUAAGGCAAACUGAAGUGCUUCGGCUGCGGGCAGAUUGGGCAUAAACGCGCCCAGAGUCCGAAAUUCAGCGAGAAGAAAAACAGUGCAAAAAUCAGCGAAGAAAAAUGACACCCAAAAGGCGAAUGUGGGAGCAAGAACGGUAUCGUUUGUUGCUGCUGAGACCCACCAAGAGGUGGUCGCGAUGAGUGAAGUGUCUGAGACGCGAUGGUUUUUGGACAGUGGGGCGUCCGAUCACAUGUCCAAUGACAAGACAUUGUUUUCGAUCAUGGAAAAGUUAAAUCGUCCGAUCGAGAUUCUAACUGCGAAGAACGGUGUGAGCUUGCAUGCUGGCUAUAGAGGUCGUGUUACUACUAGUGCUUUGACGUUUGACACUCCGGAUCUGUCACUGAACUUGCUCUUGUUGCGUCGGCUGGAAAAUUCCGGGAAAAAGGUCGUAUUUUUUGGCAGAAAAGUGAGUGUCGAAGACGAAGAGGGGGUAGUCGCCACCGGAAGGCAACUUGGACGUCUGUACUGUAUGGAUUUUGUGUGUGAAAAAGUUAAGCCUGAUGAUCAAGCACUAGUGAGUGGACGGGUUUGCAAAAGCUUGGAAGUGUGGCACUAUCGAUUCGGGCAUCUCGGCAAUGACAAUCUCAUGAAGCUUGUGCGGAACGAAAUGGUCGAAGGAAUGCCGGUUGAAAUCGCGCGCGGUAAAGCUGAAAGUUUGUGUGUGAACCGUGCAUUAUUGCAAAGCAGACGCGUGAAUCGUUCGAGCCCCGAUCGGAGAAACGUGCUAGUAGGCCCCUCGAAAUCGUUCAUAGUGAUGUUUGUGGCCCCAUCACUCCGCUCUCUUGGGAUGGCCACUCGUAUUUUGUCACGUUCACGGACGACUAUACACACCUGGCGGUAGUGUACCUCAUGCAGCAUAAGGAUGGUGGUUCGGAGGUGAAUCCAGAAGAAACCACUAAUGUGAGAAGAAGUGGUAGAGUGAUUAAUCCAACGCGGACAUAAUGGCGUUCGUACUCAGUGCAGAAGAGUUUGUGGAAGAAAUUCCGUCGGACAUCGAAACUUUGAAAACAAGAAGUGACUGGCCUAUGUGGAAGCAUGCUGUUGAUGAAGAACUGGUAUCACUGGAAAAGAACGAUACGUGGACCCUUGUUAAGCUGCCAGAAGGACGGAAAGUAGUGGACAAUAAGUGGGUGUUUAAACCUAAACGGAGCAGUGAUGGUGAAGUAGAUCGUUACAAAGCCAGACUUCUGGCGCGCGGUUUCUCGCAGCGGUGAGGCUUUGAUUAUGUAGACACUUACUCUCCUGUCGUGAAAAUGACCACCCCACGCGUUUUGUUAGCUCUAGCCAAUCAAAAGGACUGGGAAGUGCACCAACUAGAUGUCAAGUGUGCAUUUCUGAACGGCGUGUUGGAUGAAGAAGUGUAUAUGCGCCAGCCAUCUGGAUUUGAGCGGGGAGAUGGACUAGUCUGCAGAUUGAACAAGGCCAUAUACGGACUAAAACAAGCGUCGAGGAAGUGCAACAUGCGUUUCCAUCAGUUCAUGGUCCGACUGCAGUUCAAACAAAGUGAACAUGACUCGUGCCUGUACAGUUGAUUAUAUCGUGGUGUCGUGCUAUACGUAAUCAUUUACGUCAACGAUAUACUUGUCGUCGGGAAUUCGCUGGAAGCAAUACGUAAGUUGAAGGCAUAGCUUUGCAGUGAGUUUGAAACAAGAGAUCUUCAGGAGGUGAAAUCUUUCCUCGGGUUGAGCAUACAUCGCGAUCGCAAGGCAGGAGUUCUGACCGUGAACCAGCGGGUCUAUCUGAAAGUGUUUUCGAACGCUUCGGAAUGAACGACUGCAAGCCGUCCGCCAUUCCCAUGGAACCACACGUGUUGCGUUUUCUCUGCUAUUGAAAGAUUUCAAUACUCAGAUCAUUACGCAUUAGCGGUUUAUCGAUUCAAAGGCAUCUAUAACAACAGUUUCGACUUACUCGGGACGACCCGAAACACCUCAUGGAGUAACCAGUCUUUGUUUAUGAUACGCUUGAUAAAAACGAUGGAAUCGAAAUCAAACAAUACGUAAAAAAUCAGAGGGGUGUGUACAAGACACAACCGCAUGACGUAGGGGUGGUGGGGGUAAAGUGGACAACCUAAGCAUUUUGGUCGUUUCCGGCGGAAACGCGGCAAAACCCAUCUACUUUUCCGAGUAACAUGGAAGAUAAUGAUAUACUCUAGAAAUCUUGUAAGAGGUUGCAUUUAAAAAAUAUUGUUUUCUUUGAUUAUUUUCUUCACAAAAUCGUGCAUCAAAAUAGCGUGAAAAAAAAUGGUGGGGGUAAAAUGGACAAUCGAUGGGGUAAAAUGAACAAGUCGUUAAAAGUUAUAUAACAACAUAUUGUUUCUAUGUUUUUAAAUAUAAACUAUCAAAUUUCAUACGAUACCUUUAUUUUGUUGUUUUAAAACUUUUGAUACAAACUUUGAAACACACUUAAAUAAUUAUUGUAAAAAUAGUGAAAAAAACAAGCACUGUUUUGGAUGAAAAUUAUAUUUUGUUGAUAUAAAAUAUUUUUUUUAUAAAUUUUUACUUCAAUUAUCUCAUGAUACGUAUGACGGCUGAUGAUUCUGAAGUUUGCAAAAAAAAAUAUGAAAUUUUGGUGGAAUUUGUACCGAUUGUCCAUUUUACCCCCACGGUCUGAUUUUGUUAAAAAAAAAUCCAAAACUUAUUUUUUUUACAAAACCUAAUUUUUUUUCGGUCGAAUAUACUCUUCUACGUGGACUUUAUUGGUUUAGGGUGUAAAACUUGUAAUAAUUUGAAAAUAACUUACGAGAAAACCUUAGCAAUUAUAAGCAGAUUUUACAUCAUUUCCCUUGUUUCACGUGAUUUUUAAAGUUCUUGUCAUCUUGAAGAGGAUUAUUUGAUUUUAAUGUUCAAGAUCAGCAAAAGUAUAAUGAUUCAUGCUUAGGCAUAAGCUUCAAUCGUUGAAACAUUUUGAAAAACAAUAAAAGCCAUGAAACUGUA